AUCCCACUUUCAGGGAUGAUUCAGAAUCAGAAGAGAUACAUGUAAAUUUAAACACAUUUGACAUUUGUACAAGCUAUGAUGGAACCCUUAACUUCAUCUUCCCCUUAGGUAUAGGUCAGAAGAGGAUUAUUCCGGCCCAAGAAACCGUUGGUCUGAGGGUAUACUCACAGGACUGUUGGAGAGCUAUGUUCUUCCUGGAACAAUAUCACAGGAGCAAGAGGGUUCCUGCACAACAGGGCAUCCGCAGCAGCCUUGCUGCCAUCACCUGGCUUCACCUUCUAGACUCCUUUGAACAUGUGGAAGAUACUGAGGCCCAGAGAAACCUACCAAGAGAUUUUACUGCAAGCUUUCCAACACCUCAGCAGUUACUUCAGUUCAUCCUUCACAUGUCAGCCACUUCUCUUGCUCUGCCUUGGCAGAAUCACCAAAAAGGGAUUCCAUGUGGAAGGAUACUUCCAGCGGUCUUAGACCUCCUGUUCCACUCCAUCUGGAGCAACUGAUUCCCUGGGUGCAUACAGGGCUUGAACCCCCAAGGAUGUGCAUCAAGGAAAGUGAAGAAAGGGUCAGUCAAGCCCAGCAAGCACACAUGUGAGCAGCUGGAGAAUCAAAGCCUUGGAAGGUGUCUUCUAUUCCAUUCCACACUCCCUGCAAGCAGGUUCUCCCAACAUUCAGGGGCUGGACCCAGAUACCAGACACAGAAGAUGUCGUACUCACUUGAGUAAUCCACAAGCAUGUGUCUAUACCUGGAUCAGUUGCCAGGGGCAUAUUAAGCAUCUUGUUUCCAGCUCUGAAGCUACCCUGAGCUCACUCAGAUGAGGCUAAGUCCAGAAGGUGAAGAGACCUAAGUGGUGUAAUAGCAUGAACAGUUGGUUCAUGAACCCAAGUCAGGUAAGGAACUCCCAAGCUUUCCCCCUACAUGUAGGCUUAUACUUGAGAACCGUAACACUUUCAGGGAUAAAUGCUAUGAGUUUUACCUAGAGUUAAGGUCACUGACAUGCCUACAGGAGAUCCCAGUUGGGAAGGUAUCAGUACCAGGUUUUAGAGUCAUCUCAGUCUGAGAAGGCCAUGUCCCUUUCAGGUCUAGACUCAGUCCAUUACUAGAGAUUUGGGCUGGAAUGUGAAUGUCCAUCUGAGAGACCACACUCAGCAUGGAUGCCCUCCAGUGUGGUCACCUCACCUGAGAUUAUAGGUCAACACUAGAACCUGAAGCUAAGGGCCAAGCAUUGGUGAUAGAGCCUCAAUUAAGGCUGAUAGUUUAGGAAACCCUGGCUGGCCAAUUCCCAGGCUCAUCCAUGGAAGUGAUAAGGGCAUCUAGUGAAACGAUCAUUCUUAACACAUGC
rnacentral:lncRNA from 1 species